GCCGGGCAUGGUGGUGCACGCCUGUAAUCCCAGUGGCUUGGGAGGCUGAGGCAGGAGGAUCAAGAGUUCAAAGCCAGCCUCAGCAAAAGUGAGACACUAAGCAAUUCAGUGAGAACCCUGUCUCUA
rnacentral:sRNA from 1 species